CAAACUUGGAGAGCUGUUUUCUCAUUUCAUGUACACUUGCCCCAAAUUGUAGUUUUUGAAGUCAUGUGCAUUGCACGUUGGAUGAGCCAGGGAAAUUAUUACAUUAACAAGCAUUUUGUGUGUAUGUAGUAGUUACUUUGUACUGAGAGAACUUGCUUUGGGGUGCAAUUAAACAAUAAACUGAUUUUAUUUGGGAGAAACAGGGAAGGGUGC
rnacentral:lncRNA from 1 species